rnacentral:rRNA from 1 species
GAUUAUGGCUCAGGACGAACGCUGGCGGCGUGCUUAACACAUGCAAGUCGAACGGAGGAUUCAUUCCCGAAGUUUCGGAUGGAGGGAAGGGAUUCUUAGUGGCGGACGGGUGAGUAACGCGUGAGCAACCUGUCCUGCAGAGGGGGACAACAACGGGAAACCGUUGCUAAUACCGCAUAAGACCACGGUCUCGCAUGGGACUGAGGUAAAAGGAGAAAUCCGCUGCAGGAGGGGCUCGCGUCCCAUUAGAUAGUUGGCGGGGUAACGGCCCACCAAGUCAGCGAUGGGUAGCCGGACUGAGAGGUUGAACGGCCACACUGGGACUGAGACACGGCCCAGACUCCUACGGGAGGCAGCAGUGGGGAAUAUUGGGCAAUGGGCGCAAGCCCUGACCCAGCAACGCCGCGUGAAGGAAGAAGGUCUUCGGAUUGUAAACUUCUGUCAUUGGGGACGAAGAAAGUGACGGUACCCAAUGAGGAAGCCCCGGCUAACUACGUGCCAGCCGCCGC